AACUCUGUGUGCAUUUUGCAAAGGAUAUGAUGAAGAGUUCAAACACUUGUUCUUUGGAUGUGUCAUUACCAGUAGAGUUUGGAGGAGAGUUUGUAUAUGAUUGGGACACCCUAGAACUACAGUAUGCUGGGAAAAUGAACUGAAGUGGAUCUGUAAUAAUGCAAAGAGCAAAAGCUGGAAGAAAGAGGUCACUGCAGCUGCAUUUGUGACCACUGUUGCAUUGCUAUGGAGN
rnacentral:lncRNA from 1 species